GCCUACGGGAGGCAGCAGUAGGGAAUAUUGCUCAAUGGGGGAAACCCUGAAGCAGCAACGCCGCGUGAAGCAAGAAGGCUUUCGGGUUGUAAACUUCUUUUAAGGGGGAAGAGCAGAAGACGGUACCCCUUGAAUAAGCCACGGCUAACUACGUGCCAGCAGCCGCGGUAAUACGUAGGUGGCAAGCGUUGUCCGGAUUUACUGGGUGUAAAGGGCGUGCAGCCGGAGAGACAAGUCAGAUGUGAAAUCCACGGGCUCAACCCGUGAACUGCAUUUGAAACUGUUUCCCUUGAGUGUCGGAGAGG
rnacentral:rRNA from 1 species